UACGUAGGGGGCAAGCGUUGUCCGGAAUCAUUGGGCGUAAAGCGCGUGUAGGCGGCCUUGUAAGUCCGUUCUGAAAGCCCGGGGCUCAACCCCGGGAGGCGGAUGGAUACUGCAAGGCUCGAGUCCGGAAGAGGCGAGUGGAAUUCCCGGUGUAGCGGUGAAAUGCGCAGAUAUCAGGAGGAACACCGGUGGCGAAGGCGGGUCUCUGGGCCGAUACUGACGCUGAGGAGCGAAAGCGUGGGGAGCGAACAGG
rnacentral:rRNA from 1 species